ensembl:lncRNA
GUUAGGUUAGGAAGGUGGUUCUUUUACGCCUGCUACGUUAGGUUAGGAAGGUUGUUCUUUUACGCCUGCUACGUUAGGUUAGGAAGGUGGUUCUUUUACGCCUGCUACGUUAGGUUAGGAAGGUGGUUCUUUUACGCCUGCUACGUUAGGUUAGGAAGGUGGUUCUUUUAUGCCUGCUACGUUAGGUUAGGAAGGUGGUUCUUUUACGCCUGCUACGUUAGGUUAGGAAGGUUGUUCUUUUACGCCUGCUACGUUAGGUUAGGAAGGUGGUUCUUUUACGCCUGCUACGUUAGGAAGGUGGUUCUUUUACGCCUGCUAAGUUAGGGAGGUGUAGAUGAGCUACGUUGGGGAGGUGUAGAUGAGCUACGUUGGGGAGGUGUAGAUGAGCUACGUUGGGGAGGUGUAGAUGAGCUACGUUGGGGAGGUGU